rnacentral:tRNA from 1 species
AGCUUUGUGCACGCAAGAGCAUACCCUUGGUAAGGGAGAGGCCGAGAGUUCAAAUCUCUCCGGCAGCACCA